UCGAACCCUGCAAGGCAGAACGACCCGUGAACGUGUAAAAACAACUAGGUGAUAGGGAGAUGGACUGCCGUUCUGAUCCUCAACACCUCCCAGCGUGGCUUCGUGGUGGCUUAUUUUUUUCACCAUGGAUGUCUUGUUGGAUCUAAACAAACCCCGGCACGGAAUGUGCCAAGGAAUACAAAAUUGAGUAGGUCUCUUCUUGUUAUGUCCCGUUCGCGGUGUGCAUGCUAGUUGUGGCCUCCACAGAAUCA
rnacentral:misc_RNA from 1 species